CGUGUAGGCGGAUUGGUAAGUCAGAUGUGAAAGCCCCGGGCUCAACCUGGGAACUGCAUUUGAAACUGCUAGUCUUGAGUGGUGGAGAGGGAAGCGGAAUUCCUGGUGUAGAGGUGAAAUUCGUAGAUAUCAGGAGGAACACCGGUGGCGAAGGCGGCUUCCUGGACACUUACUGACGCUGAGACGCGAAAGCGUGGGGAGCAAACA
rnacentral:rRNA from 1 species